UAUACCAUAGACCUUAUAGAUAUGGACAAUUGCCUAUAGUUUCUGUAUUAAGCUUUGUGUCCAUAGACAUAGUAUAUCUAGACCGAGCAUUUGCCCUUAUUUAAGGAGUGGGGGCCGAUGCUCACGUAGAAAAGGACAUACUCUGUUUCGUGCCCCUUGCGUUCUCUCUCUUUCAUACAUGCGUAGAAAUAGAGAAACAGGGAAUUGGGAACGGUGAAACUGGGAACUGCGAAGUGAAGACCAUACGUACAUUUGCGUACAUGAUCCUGCAACUGUUUCAAACCGAAAAUUCCAUCGAAGAGAAAUAAUACAAAAUCAAAAGUGCGACUAGAAUUGCAAUGGUUAGCAAUGGUUAAGCUACAUAUGCUGGAAAAAACAUUCUGUUUUAUUAUCACGGCAAUUUCACAGUUUUCCAUCAGAUGCAGAAAGGCGAGAAAAUGGUUUAAUACCAUUGGUUAUACUGUUGACUACUUACAAAAAUGCAAGAAUUUGCAGUGAAUUGCUAGAGCCGUGGAAUGCAGGAUCGACUCAAUCGAGAUUUUUCAUGAAUAUGGAUGACGGUCCAAAAACAAUAAAAAUGCAAACUCUUUACAGACGUCAUGAUUAUUUUAAACAAAACAAUUGGUGCUUAACUGAAUAUGUUGAUGAAGUUAUUACGUACAUAUCUGGUUAUAUUGCCGACUGUUAAAAAAAAAUAGAUUGCUUCUUUUGUAAACAAUUGCUCAUUUUAAACGAAGCACAAAAAGAAUCAUACGCAUAUCGUUCUGAUAAACUUUUACAGCGAAAAAAUCGAAAUGGUUUGUGUCAAGCAUCAUCCGAUGUUAUUAUUAUAUGUAAGAAUGCAGAAAAAACUGUAAGAUAUAAUCAAGACAGAUUAUUUAAAACUAAAAAUAUAUUAAAUGUUUUAAUAUGUC